AUGGAAACGUGUACGAUCUGUGAGGGACAACAAACCUGCAGAGGAACUCAUGAUGUCCCUGUUCUAGGGUCCUCUCUCUGCUGCGAUGCACUGAAGACUACUAACUCCUACAGUACUGGGAGGAGGAAGGCAGGGAACGUGGAGAACUGUCUUUCAAUGGAAAUGGAUUUGAUCAUUUCCAUCUUUCUCCUGCUCCAAUCUACCCUGAGCACUGCCUGCCAGUCAGCACUUACCCCCCCAGCUCCCUCCCUCCCUGCCCCGGCCCUCCCUCCCUCCCUGCCCCGGCCCUCCCUCCCUGCCCCGGCCCUCCCUGCCCCGGCCCUCCCUGCCCCGGCCCUCCCUGCCCCGGCCCUCCCUCCCUCCCUCCCCGCCCUCCCUCCCUCCCUCCCUGCCCGGCCCUCCCUCCCUCCCUGCCCCGGCCCUCCCUCCCUCCCUGCCCCGGCCCUCCCUCCCUCCCUGCCCGGCCCUCCCUCCCUCCCUGCCCCGGCCCUCCCUCCCUCCCUGCCCCGGCCCUCCCUCCCUCCCUGCCCCGGCCCUCCCUCCCUCCCUGCCCCGGCCCUCCCUCCCUCCCUCCCUGCCCCGGCCCUCCCUCCCUCCCUCCCUGCCCCGGCCCUCCUCCCCUCCCUGCCCCGGCCCCUCCCCUCCCUGCCCCGGCCCUCCCUCCCCUCCCUGCCCCGGCCCUCCCCUCCCUGCCCCGGCCCUCCCUCCCCUCCCUGCCCCGGCCCUCCCUCCCCUCCCUGCCCCGGCCCUCCCUGCCCCGGCCCUCCCUCCCUGCCCCGGCCCUCCCUCCCUGCCCCGGCCCUCCCUCCCUGCCCCGGCCCUGGCCCUCCCUCCCUGCCCUCCCUGCCCCGCCCCUCCCUGCCCUCCCUGCCCCGCCCCUCCCUCCCUGCCACCCCUGGCCCCUCCCUCCCUGGCCCCUCCCUGCCACCCCUGGCCCCUCCCUCCCUGCCCGCCCCUGGCCCCUCCCUCCCUGCCCGCCCCUGGCCCCUCCCUCCCUGCCCCGCCCCUCCCUCCCUGCCGCCCCUGGCCCCUCCCUCCCUGCCCCGCCCCUCCCUCCCUGCCGCCCCUGGCCCCUCCCUCCCUGGCCCCUCCCUCCCUGGCCCCUCCCUCCCUGCCGCCCCUGGCCCCUCCCUCACUGCCCCACCCCUCCCUCCCUGCCGCCCCUGGCCCCUCCCUCACUGCCCCACCCCUCCCUCCCUGCCACCCCUGGCCCCUCCCUGCCCCACCCCUGGCCCCUCCCUCCACCUACUUCCCUUCCUAUCCACCUCCUUUAUGUUGUCCUUUUGUUUGUAG
rnacentral:lncRNA from 1 species